rnacentral:rRNA from 1 species
GGAUUGCAGGCUGCAACCCGCCUGUAUGAAGUUGGAAUCGCUAGUAAUCGCGGAUCAGCAUGCCGCGGUGAAUACGUUCCCGGGCCUUGUACACACCGCCCGUCACACCAUGGGAGUCGGGAACACCCGAAGUCCGUAGCCUAACCGCAAGGGGGGCGCGGCCGAAGGUGGGUUCGAUAAUUGGGGUGAAGUCGUAACAAGGUACC